rnacentral:piRNA from 1 species
UGGGCUGUGAUCGUCAUGUGCCCUCAGAC